rnacentral:rRNA from 1 species
GAUGAACGCUGGCGGCGUGCCUAAUACAUGCAAGUCGAGCGAACAGAUGAGGAGCUUGCUCCUCUGACGUUAGCGGCGGACGGGUGAGUAACACGUGGAUAACCUACCUAUAAGACUGGGAUAACUUCGGGAAACCGGAGCUAAUACCGGAUAAUAUAUUGAACCGCAUGGUUCAAUAGUGAAAGACGGUUUUGCUGUCACUUAUAGAUGGAUCCGCGCCGCAUUAGCUAGUUGGUAAGGUAACGGCUUACCAAGGCAACGAUGCGUAGCCGACCUGAGAGGGUGAUCGGCCACACUGGAACUGAGACACGGUGCAGACUCCUACGGGAGGCAGCAGUAGGGAAUCUUCCGCAAUGGGCGAAAGCCUGACGGAGCAACGCCGCGUGAGUGAUGAAGGUCUUCGGAUCGUAAAACUCUGUUAUUAGGGAAGAACAAAUGUGUAAGUAACUAUGCACGUCUUGACGGUACCUAAUCAGAAAGCCACGGCUAACUACGUG